rnacentral:tRNA from 1 species
GAAGUAGUUCAGCGGUAGAGCGGCAGAUUGUGGAUCUGCUUGUCGAGGGUUCGAUCCCCUUCUUC